rnacentral:rRNA from 1 species
ACCUGCGGAAGGAUCAUUGUCGUGACCUUGACCAAAAUAGACCGUGAACGUGUCAACAAUGCUACUGAGUGAUGGGUCUUGCACCUAUCUCUUGGAUUGGGUCACAUACCUCUUUUUCGCAGGGGUAUAUGCCCCCAAAGAACCCACGGCGCCGUAGGUGUCAAGGAACACUAAUGCUGCAUUGCAUGGGAGGGGCCGGCUUGCUGGUUCCUUCCCUUGUGCAACGAUGAUAUGAUAAUCCUCAUGACUCUCGGCAACGGAUAUCUUGGCUCUUGCAUCGAUGAAGAACGUAGCAAAAUGCGAUACCUGGUGUGAAUUGCAGAAUCCCGUGAACCAUCAAGUUUUUGAACGCAAGUUGCGCCCGAGGCCUUUUGGUCGAGGGCACGUCUGCCUGGGCGUCACGCCAAAAGACACUCCCAAUAAGGAUGUGGUUUUUGUCCCCCCGUGCAUGUAAACACGGAGGGCCUAAGUUUGGGCUGCCGGUGGUGCUGAUCACAGCUUAAGGUGGAUGGUGAAAGUUAUUCUCUUUGCUGUGUUUUGGAUCGCAUGUAGUGAUGCCCUUUCCACCCAUAUAUUGAAGAGCACCAAAUGCUUAUACCGCGACCCCAGGUCAGUCGGGACUACCCGCUGAAUUUAAGCAUAUCAAUAAGCGG